CCUACGGGUGACAGCAGUGAGGAAUAUUGGUCAAUGGGCGGAAGCCUGAACCAGCCAAGUCGCGUGAGGGAUUAAGGCCCUGCGGGUCGUAAACCUCUUUUGCCGGGGAGCAGUGGUCCGGACGAGUCCGGGCCGGGAGAGUACCCGGAGAAAAAGCAUCGACCAACUCCGUGCCAGCAGCCGCGGUAAUACGGGGGAUGCGAGCGUUAUCCGGAUUUAUUGGGUUGAAAGGGUGCGUAGGCGGGCAUUUAAGCCGGCGGUCAAAUGUCGGGGCUCAACCCCGGCCUGCCGUCGGAACUGGGUGCCUUGAGUGGGCGAGAAGUAUGCGGAAUGCGUGAUGUAGCGGUGAAAUGCAUAGAUAUCACGCAGAACCCCGAGUGCGAAGGCAGCAUACCGGCGCCCGACUGACGCUGAGGCACGAAAGUGCGGGUAUCGAACAGGAUUAGAUACCCCUGUAGUC
rnacentral:rRNA from 1 species